ACUCCUACGGGAGGCAGCAGUGGGGAAUAUUGGACAAUGGGCGAAAGCCUGAUCCAGCCAUGCCGCGUGUGUGAAGAAGGUCUUCGGAUUGUAAAGCACUUUAAGUUGGGAGGAAGGGCAGUAAGUUAAUACCUUGCUGUUUUGACGUUACCAACAGAAUAAGCACCGGCUAACUUCGUGCCAGCAGCCGCGGUAAUACGAAGGGGUGCAAGCGUUAAUCGGAAUUACUGGGCGUAAAGCGCGCGUAGGUGGUUCAGCAAGUUGGAUGUGAAAUCCCCGGGGCUCAACCUGGGAACUGCAUCCAAAACUACUGAGCUAGAGUACGGUAGAGGGUGGUGGAAUUUCCUGUGUAGCGGUGAAAUGCGUAGAUAUAGGAAGGAACACCAGUGGCGAAGGCGACCACCUGGACUGAUACUGACACUGAGGUGCGAAAGCGUGGGGA
rnacentral:rRNA from 1 species